rnacentral:rRNA from 1 species
AAGAAGACGAGGUAGAUAGGGUAUGUGUGUAAGUGCGGUAACGCAUUUAGCUUAAUACUACUAAUCGGUCGAGGACUUGACUUA